CAGUGCUUACAGACAGGAUUUUGAAAACUUCAGUCAUGUUUUAUUUUAUUUAUAUCCAGGGGGGACAGGCGAGGAGGGGGACCCUGUUGGAAUUGCGCUGUGUGAAAACGGGGAGGCGUGCAGGGGGGGGGGGGGGGGAGGAAAAAUUUUUUUUUUUUUUUUUUUUUUUUAACCUUUGGUCAGGGGCCAGAAAAUUUGAAUCCUUUCAUAUUCCCUUUGUUCUCGCACUCUCUGGCAACUGGAGAGCUUUAAAAAAAAAAAAAAAAAAAAGGGAAAAAAAAAAAAAAAAAAAAGCCGGGGGAGGGGAAAAAAGGCUGGGGAAGGUGGGGUUUAACAGAAUGAAAGGCAGAGGCUGUGGUGUUCUUUCUGCGGGACUGAUUGUUCCCAGAUGUGCAUUGCAAAAACAUCUGGCUCGGGGCAGCCGCCGGACCCCCGCUCGCUGCCUGCGCCGAGGGGACGCAGAGGUCCCCCCGCCGGGGCACCUCCGGGGGCUGAUGUUUGGAGAAGCCCUGGGUGGGCGAGGGGCAGGAGGGGGGUGGCUGUGCCCCCAGCCCCCGGCCUUUUUGCGAACACGUUGUGGAAAGUCUCGGUGUCGGGUGGGCGAAGACAUCGCGGCCGCCGUCAGCUUCGCUCCACACAUCUCCCAAAAUGGGAGCCGGGGGCUGGAGGUGGUGGUGGCUCUGGGGGGGGGGACGAGGCGGUGGUGGUGGCACCGUGUCCCCAGGGGGGAUGCAGCGGCUGGCCCCAUUUCCCAGCUGAGCCCCACAAGCUGGGGAUGUUCUCAGCAGGGCCUAGGGGAGCAGAAGAGCCCCGGGUUUGGGGGAAAUUCAGAAAUUGGGUGCUCAGACUCCGGGAGAUGGGGCCGUGUGGGCUGUGGUGCCUCCAGAGCUGGGCCCUGGGCCUUGCCUGAGCUGUCCCAGGCAGGUCAGGGUGGUUUGGGGACCAAACCCAGGCCUUGCCCACCCAGUCUGGGUAAGGCCUCACAGAAGCCCGGGGCUCAUCCCCACACGAUCCCUUUCAGCCCACGUUUUGUCUGGGUUAAUCCCAGCUCCAGACGCGAGAUGGGGCAGGGCUGCGGGUGGCAGGGCCCCGGGGACCCCCCAGGGGCUUCAUUUGGGGCCCAUUCGUCCAAGCAUGGUUCUCCAAGCUCAGCUCAGGCAGGGCCUGGCCCCAUGGAUCUCCCAGAGCCUGGAAGGCAACGACCGCAGUACCUACAGGCCUGGGGAUGGGGGAAAUACGGGGACCAUAGGGGCUGCAACCCUGCUGGCAGUGCAGGGCACAACUUUUGGAAGGUGCAGUGCUUGGGUGAGCCCAGGGAUGAGGUCCUGGGAGGUGCUGAGCUCUGCUGAUGGCGCAGGAUGCGGCCCCUGGGUGGUGCAGCAGGUCUAGGACACGGGCCCCAAAAGGUGCAGGCCCUGCUGGUCCCACAGACCCAACCUUCCCCAGCGGGGACCACAGGGAGACAGGCAGCGUGGGUGCACGUGUGGGCCCAUCCUGCCACAGACAGGCUAUUUCAGCCCAAAUUUUGCAGCCAGAACAAGACACGGUGACUUGGGCUCCCCUCCACCCCUGCCUCAGUUUCCCCUUCCCAUCAGCAGGGCUGGGAGGGGUCCCCAUCCCGCAGCAGGGAAGGCGGCAUGCUCCGUCCUGGGCAGACAGACACAUUUGGUUGCUUUUCCAAGGAGGGCAGCCAUGAAAGUUUUUUGGCAGG
rnacentral:lncRNA from 1 species